UCCAUCUCUUGGUGAGUAUUAGCAAUGGCGGUGAUGACGGCGAUGGAGCUAUUGCCACUUGCCAUUCCCUCCUCUUUCAAUUUUUGAAUUUAAAUUUGUGAUGUUUAUUUAAAUUAAUAAUAUUUGAAUUUAAUUUAUACAUAGAAUGCACAUUCCGACCAUCUCCAUUUGCAUUGCUGCUUAGUACUUUGGAACCCCC
rnacentral:lncRNA from 1 species